AUACGGAGGGGGCUAGCGCUGUUCGGAAUUACUGGGCGUAAAGCGUACGUAGGCGGACUGAUCAGUUGGGGGUGAAAUCCCAGGGCUUAACCCUGGAACUGCCUUCAAUACUGUCAGUCUUGAGUUUGGGAGAGGUGAGUGGAAUUCCUAGUGUAGAGGUGAAAUUCAUAGAUAUUAGGAGGAACACCAGUGGCGAAGGCGGCUCACUGGCCCAUUACUGACGCUGAGGUACGAAAGCGUGGGGAGCAAACAGGAUUAGAAACCCCAGUAGUCC
rnacentral:rRNA from 1 species